rnacentral:rRNA from 1 species
UACGGGGGGGGCAAGCGUUGUUCGGAUUUACUGGGCGUAAAGGGCGCGUAGGCGGCCACCGCAAGUCGACUGUGAAAUCUCCGGGCUUAACCCGGAAAGGUCAGCCGAUACUGCGGGGCUAGAGUGCAGAAGGGGCAACUGGAAUUCUCGGUGUAGCGGUGAAAUGCGUAGAUAUCGAGAGGAACACCUGCGGCGAAGGCGGGUUGCUGGGCUGACACGUGACGCUGAGGCGCGAAAGCUAGGGGAGCAAACAGG